rnacentral:rRNA from 1 species
UAUUGGACAAUGGGCGCAAGCCUGAUCCAGCAAUACCGCGUGUGUGAAGAAGGCCUUAGGGUUGUAAAGCACUUUCAAUUGGGAGGAAAACCUGCCGGUCAAUACCCGGUAGCUUGACAUUACCUUUAGAAGAAGCACCGGCUAACUCCGUGCCAGCAGCCGCGGUAAUACGGAGGGUGCGAGCGUUAAUCGGAAUUACUGGGCGUAAAGCGUACGCAGGCGGUUUGUUAAGCGAGAUGUGAAAGCCCCGGGCUCAACCUGGGAACUGCAUUUCGAACUGGCAAACUAGAGUGUGAUAGAGGGUGGUAGAAUUUCAGGUGUAGCGGUGAAAUGCGCAGAGAUCUGAAGGAAUACCGAUGGCGAAGGCAGCCACCUGGGUCAACACUGACGCUCAUUACGAAG